rnacentral:rRNA from 1 species
AUUGAACGCUGGCGGCAGGCCUAACACAUGCAAGUCGAACGGUAGCACAGAGAGCUUGCUCUCGGGUGACGAGUGGCGGACGGGUGAGUAAUGUCUGGGAAACUGCCCGAUGGAGGGGGAUAACUACUGGAAACGGUAGCUAAUACCGCAUAACGUCGCAAGACCAAAGCGGGGGACCUUCGGGCCUCACACCAUCGGAUGUGCCCAGAUGGGAUUAGCUAGUAGGUGGGGUAAUGGCUCACCUAGGCGACGAUCCCUAGCUGGUCUGAGAGGAUGACCAGCCACACUGGAACUGAGACACGGUCCAGACUCCUACGGGAGGCAGCAGUGGGGAAUAUUGCACAAUGGGCGCAAGCCUGAUGCAGCCAUGCCGCGUGUAUGAAGAAGGCCUUCGGGUUGUAAAGUACUUUCAGCGGGGAGGAAGGCGGUGAAGUUAAUAGCUUCACCGAUUGACGUUACCCGCAGAAGAAGCACCGGCUAACUCCGUGCCAGCAGCCGCCGCCGUAA